GACGAACGCUGGCGGCGUGCUUAACACAUGCAAGUCGAACGGAAAGGCCCUGCUUUUGUGGGGUGCUCGAGUGGCGAACGGGUGAGUAACACGUGAGUAACCUGCCCUUGACUUUGGGAUAACUUCAGGAAACUGGGGCUAAUACCGGAUAGGAGCUCCUGCUGCAUGGUGGGGUUGGAAAGUUUCGGCGGUUGGGGAUGGACUCGCGGCUUAUCAGCUUGUUGGUGGGGUAGUGGCUUACCAAGGCUUUGACGGGUAGCCGGCCUGAGAGGGUGACCGGCCACAUUGGGACUGAGAUACGGCCCAGACUCCUACGGGAGGCAACAGUGGGGAAUAUUGCACAAUGGGCGGAAGCCUGAUGCAGCAACGCCGCGUGCGGGAUGACGGCCUUCGGGUUGUAAACCGCUUUCGCCUGUGACGAAGCGUGAGUGACGGUAAUGGGUAAAGAAGCACCGGCUAACUACGU
rnacentral:rRNA from 1 species